UACGUAGGGGGCUAGCGUUGUCCGGAAUCAUUGGCGUAAAGCGCGUGUAGGCGGUCCGGUAAGUCCGCUGUGAAAGUCGGGGGCUCAACCCUCGAAUGCCGGUGGAUACUGUCGGGCUAGAGUGCGGAAGAGGCGAGUGGAAUUCCUGGUGUAGCGGUGAAUGCGCAGAUAUCAGGAGGAACACCAAUUGGCGAAGGCAGCUCGCUGGGACGUAACUGACGCUGGAGACGCGAAAGCGUGGGGAGCAAACAGG
rnacentral:rRNA from 1 species